UACGAAGGGGGGCUAGCGUUGUUCGGAAUUACUGGGCGUAAAGGGCGCGUAGGCGGCGUGUCAAGUCAGGCGUGAAAGCCCCGGGCUCAACCUGGGAACCGCGCUUGAGACUGGCAUGCUCGAGUUCGGGAGAGGAUGGUGGAAUUCCCCAGUGUAGAGGUGAAAUUCGUAGAUAUUGGGAAGAACACCGAUGGCGAAGGCAGCCAUCUGGACCGACACUGACGCUGAGGCGCGAAAGCGUGGGGAGCAAACAGG
rnacentral:rRNA from 1 species